rnacentral:rRNA from 1 species
GACGAACGCUGGCGGCGUGCUUAACACAUGCAAGUCGAACGAAGUGGCGAACGUGUGAGUAAUAUGUGGGUAACCUGCCCUCCUUUUUGGGAUAAGCCUUGGCAACGGGUUCUAAUACCUAAUAAAGGGGGUGGGGGUCUCGGCCCUGCAGCUUGUUGUUGGGGUGUGGGCCUACCAAGGCGGUGACGGGUAGUGGGCCUGUGAGGGUGACCGGGAAGAUUGGGACUGAGAUACGGACCAGACUACGGCGGGAGGCAGCAGUGGGGGAUAUUGGGCAAUGGGCGAAAGCAUGAUGCAGCGACGGAGCGUGGGGGAUGAAGGGUGUGGGGUUGUAAACCUCUUUCGAUAUCGAACGGGUAGGGGGAGAAGAAGCGCCGGCUAACUACGUGCCAGCAGCCGCGGUAAUUC